rnacentral:lncRNA from 1 species
UUGUGAGGAGUCAGAUGUAAGACCAUUGAUUGGCUAUCUGUUUCCUGUGAUCAUUUUGUGGAGUCAGGUAUAAGACCAUUGAUUGGCAACUUGUUUCCUAUUUUGUUCCUUGUUGCGGAGUUGGAUAUAAGACCAUUUAUUGGCCAUCUGUUUCCAUCUUUAUUUCUUUUUGAACCUUGCUUGUUUGCUUUGCUUGUUGCCUAUUCCAAAGGAAUCACUUGGAUCAUCUACAUAUGAUCUCAAGAGGUGAACUCCUAAGAAGUUUUACUCCUCAUCCCCACCUUUUGUUUCCUUACAACCUCC